GGAGGGUACGGCUCAGUGGCAGAGCACGUGCUUAGCAUGCACGAGGUCCUGGGUUCAAUCCCCAGUCCCUCCA
rnacentral:tRNA from 1 species